rnacentral:rRNA from 1 species
ACGCUGGCGGCGUGCCUAAUACAUGCAAGUCGAGCGGACAGAUGGGAGCUUGCUCCCUGAUGUUAGCGGCGGACGGGUGAGUAACACGUGGGUAACCUGCCUGUAAGACUGGGAUAACUCCGGGAAACCGGGGCUAAUACCGGAUGCUURAUUGAACCGCAUGGUUCAAUUAUAAAAGGUGGCUUUUAGCUACCACUUACAGAUGGACCCGCGGCGCAUUAGCUAGUUGGUGAGGUAACGGCUCACCAAGGCRACGAUGCGUAGCCGACCUGAGAGGGUGAUCGGCCACACUGGGACUGAGACACGGCCCAGACUCCUACGGGAGGCAGCAGUAGGGAAUCUUCCGCAAUGGACGAAAGUCUGAC